rnacentral:rRNA from 1 species
GUAACCUGCCUUAUACAGGGGGAUAACAGCUGGAAACGGCUGCUAAUACCGCAUAAGCGCACAGUGCUGCAUGGCACAGUGUGAAAAGAUUUAUCGGUAUAAGAUGGACCCGCGUCUGAUUAGCUAGUUGGUGAGGUAAUGGCUCACCAAGGCGACGAUCAGUAGCCGGCUUGAGAGAGUGAACGGCCACAUUGGGACUGAGACACGGCCCAAACUCCUACGGGAGGCAGCAGUGGGGAAUAUUGCACAAUGGGGGAAACCCUGAUGCAGCGACGCCGCGUGAGUGAAGAAGUAUUUCGGUAUGUAAAGCUCUAUCAGCAGGGACGAUAAUGACGGUACCUGACUAAGAAGCCCCGGCUAACUACGUGCCAGCAGCCGCGGUAAUACGUAGGGGGCAAGCGUUAUCCGGAUUUACUGGGUGUAAAGGGAGCGUAGGUGGCCAAAUAAGUCAGAUGUGAAAGCCCAGGGCUCAACCCUGGGAUUGCA